rnacentral:lncRNA from 1 species
AUUUCAUUGAAUUUCGUUAAAAUCUCAAUUGUGAAUACCUAAAUUUUAAUAAAAUCUCAAUUGAUAGACACCUAACUUUGGAAAGAUUUUUAAAAUCUAUCAUAAUAUUAAUUAAGGAACCCCUUUAAUAGACUGGUUGCGAGUGGUCACAUCAUCCAAUCAUGGAGAUCUUGUACGAAAGAUCCUUGAGCUCCUCGCAUCGCCUUGUUCACGAGGGUUCGACAGAUUUUGCCACGUGGGUUUUGUGACGUGGAGUGUGGGCCUGGUUUCGCUUAUUGAUUGGCUGCCACGUGGCCAUAUUUUAGAGCCUCGCUGGAAGAGGUGUAUCCGUUGUGAAUAUUAAAAAAGAUCUCUCUGAUUUUGGUUGGUUAUGGAAAUUCUAGAUGGCUCCGACUUGUUUCCUAAUUCUCAUUUAAGAAUUUUUCAUGUAUCAUUUGUUUGCAAAUUUCUUGAUUUUGUGUUUAUAGGUGAUAUGCCUGGGAUGAUAUGCUUUUUUCUGUAGCAUAUGAUCAGAUUGAUUACACAGUCAACUGUCACAGAAAUUUUUACCGAAAAUGAAAACUGUGAAUAUUGUGCUCUCCAUUUGAAUACAACUUUGUAUCUUUGCAUUGAACUUUGAAAAAGGAGGGAAGUGAUUAUUUUCAUUAGUUUCAUUAAAAACUACAUGCACGAGAAACUGUUUCCAACAAAUCUUGUGUGUAUAUUCCAUUGUGCUGGUUUCGAGCUUGCAUGAUGUUUGCUCAAUGCUAUAUUCCACUGGGGAAGGAGGGUGGAGAACAGUUUAUGUUGAGAAGUUUUGAGAAGAAACUGACGAGUUUUUCUGCAUCUGCAUCAAGUGUUAAGAUUAAUAGUAAAUUUGGAUACUUGUAAGGGCUUUAGCCACAUCCUAUCAUAAUGUAGCUUCCUGGAAAUCUUUAUUGAAAUAAUGAAAUUUGUAGCCCCAAUAUUUUCUGAUGCAGAGAACUGCUGGAUUUGAUGCAACAGGAACACUGGAACCAGAAAUUGCAUUGCUGAAUGCUUUACUUUUAAGCUCUAUUCUUCUGCAAAGUGUACAAUUCGACAUCUUUCUCUUCCUCUUAAUUUUUUGGAGUUAGGUCUUUUGUUUUGUUGGGUCUAAUAUUCAUCAUGACAAAAUCGAAACAGAUACCCGACGUUUUCCCUGUGCUUGCCGCUUCACAUAAGACACCCAUAUCCAAAUCAAGAGAGGCAAUAACAAGGACUCUCCAUUCUGAGCUUGUUUACAAUUACUUGGGCUCGAAACAUGUAAGAAGCGUUUUCCUUAGCUCAUCAUGGUUUUGAUAUAUAAAUUUUCUAUGGUGUUGCUGCUGGUGUACCAGAUAUCAGAAUCUUUGAAAAGAUGGUAUAUCUGACAAUUCAAGUUACAUCCUUGUGGCUCAUUUUGGCGCUUCUACUGAUGAGGUGAGGUCAUCGCUUUAAUAUUCUGGAUUAAGUUCAACUCUCUAAUUUUGAUAGCGAUCGUCAGAUAGCAAAAAUCAGAAAAAUGCAAAGCAAACACAGAUUUAUAUCGGUUCUAUUCUACAUCCCAAAAAUCAGAAAAAUGCAAAGCAGACACUUCACUCUCAAUAUGAGAGCUACGUCCCUUCGCUCCUGCUAGUUUUCACUAAAAAUGAGAAGUUCACAAUAUAGUUCUCUGUCCCCUCUUCUAUAUCUUUAUAUAAAAGAACAGCCUGUAAGUUCCUUCACGUACAGGAGGCAAUUAAGGCAAACAUAAUACGAUAUGAAUGCCAAUAUGUCCAUAUAAUUAAAAAAUAAAAACAAAAAUUGCCGUCAAGGUUACAGGUGAACAGUAUAAUUAGGAUCCCACACUGUCCAACAUCAUGAACUAUAUAGAGAUGGUGUAUUUUGUUACUCUCCAAAUAUUCUACUUACUAAAAGAGCUAGGAAUCUUUUAUUGUUUGACCAGGUAACAGCCAUAAAGUAACUUACCAAGGGAGCAGAAAUUGGCUUGUAGGAAUUGCAAGGACGAGCAAACAAAGCCCAGAUACAAAAGGUCGCUCAUCUCUCUCUCUCACGUGCCCUUUUGCUUCUUUUCUCUAAUCUACAUAUGUUUUCUGUGGCGACUUUCGUUUUUUUUUUUCUUUUAAACCAGCACGAUAAAAUACCAGCCUUGGAGUUGGGAAUAUCGUCACUUUCAGAUGCUAUAACAUGGAGGAUUGCAGCUCGAGAUGCCUUGUGAAGGGAAUCAGUCCCUCUUUGUUUUGUUAAUUUGCGCUUUGUAAAACGAGUUUUUCCCUGUUUGUCAUUUUGCUUUUAAUUAAAUCAAGGGAUAUAUACAAUGUUAUUUAUGUGAUUUUUCCAGUGUAAAUUUGUCGUGGUACAGAGGUGAACAUAAUUGGAGUUUGAAGUUGUGCACUUGUUGAGUUUCAUACUAUAAAAUGUUAUAAUCAGGCCUUAUAUGCAUGUUUGACUAA